rnacentral:lncRNA from 1 species
UGUAUCACUAUGAAUUUCCCUAUAAGGACUGCUUUUGCAGUGUCCCAUAGAGUUUGAAAGGUUGUGUCUUCAUUAUCAUUUGUCUCUAGGUAUUUUUUAAUUUCCUUCUUGAUUUCUUCAUUGACCCAUUGGCUUUUUAGUAGCAUGCUGUUUAGUCUCCAUGUAUUAGGUUUUUUCUCAAUUUUUUUUCCUGCAGUUGAUUUCUAGUUUCACGCCAUUGUGGUCAGAGAAGAUACUUGAAAUAACUUCUAUGCUCCUAAAUUUGUUGAGGUUAGCUUUGUGUCCCAAUAUGUGGUCGAUUCUUGAGAAUGUUCCAUGUGCACUUGAGAAGAAUGUGUAUUCUGAUUUUUUUGGAUGUAGUGUCCUGAAGAUAUCAAUUAAGUCUAACUUUUCUAUUGUUUCCUUUAGGAUCUCUGUUGCUUUAUUGGUUUUCUGUCUAGAGGAUCUGUCCAUUGAUGUGAGGGGGGUAUUUAGGUCUCCUACUAUGAUUGUAUUCUCAUCAAUAUCUCCCUUUAUGUCUGUUAGUAUUUGUUGUAUGUAUCUGGGUGCUCCUAUAUUUGGGGCAUAUAUGUUGAUGAUAGUAACAUCCUCUCCUUGGAUGGAUCCCUUAAUCAUUAAGUAGUGUCCUUCUUUGUCUUUCUUUAUGUCUUUUGUUUUAAAGUUUAUUUUGUCUGAUAUGAGUGUUGCAACUCCUGCUUUCCUGUCAUGUCUAUUGGUGUGAAAUAUUUUUCCUCACCCUUUCACUUUCAAUCUAUAUGUAUCCUUUGUCCUAAGGUGAGUUUCUUGUAGGCAGCAGAUUGAAGGUUUUUGCCUUUUUAUCCACUCAGCCACUCUGUGACUUUUGAUUAGAGCAUUCAGUCCAUUGACAUUUAAGGUGAUAAUUGAUAGAUGAUUAUUUAUUGCCAUUUUGAACCUCAUGUUCCACUUGAUUCUAUGGUUCUCCAUUCUUCCUUUCUUUUUUUUUGUUGGAUGGCCUCCAAUUAUUUUCUGCUUGAGUGUAUUUCUUUCCAUUUUUUGCGAAUGCAAUAUUUAGUUUUGGCUUGUGGUUGCCAUGUUUUUUAAGUAUGCUAACCCCUUCCUAUAAUUGUGUGUUUUAGUCUGAUGGUCCUGUAGGUUCGAACACUUCAUUACUAUAUUAAAAUUAAGAGAAACAAACAA